AUAGCCGCGGUAGCCUGACCGUGCYAAGGUAGCAUAAUAAUUUGUCUCUUAAUUAGAGGCUGGUAUGAACGAGCUAACGACACCACUACUAUUAUAUAACUACUCUUAAAAAUUAGUAUUUAUGUCAAAAAUCAUAAAUCUCUAAGAAGACGACAAGACCCUGUGAAGCUUUAACUCUCCUUAAUUUUGACACUAUUUCGGAUCUUUUUAACGGAGGGGAGCUUACGCUGGGGCGGCUUCUAAAUAACAUUAGAAAAUUUAACUUUUUAAAGAAUUAAAAGAACUUUAUUUAAAUGUAGAAAAAGUUACUCCAGGGAUAACAGCAUAAUUUUUUUAGAUAGACCUUAUAGAAAAAAAAGACUUGUGACCUCGAUGUUGAAUUGAGGAGCCUUACCUAAGCAAAAAGAGGUACAGGAAGUCUGUUCGACUUGUAACCCCUCA
rnacentral:rRNA from 1 species